UUAUGGAGAGGUUGAUGACCUGGAGAGAACUGUAGAAAUACACAUGGAGCGGCUAGGAAGAAGAAUGGAGGCCAUGGAGAGGAAGAUGGAAGAAAUGGAGGGGACUGCACUGACAUCCUCUCAGAGUGUGCAGGAAACUUUGCUGUUGGCCCCCUGCAGCACAGUGGAGGAGCUAGACAGGAGUCUGGCUUCAACGGAGAGAAGAAAUCAAAUGCAACAUUUCCUUGCAAGCCUAGGAGGGGCUAACCCGGGAGCAGCCAUUCGGCGAAUUCUUCGCCGAAUGGCGACCAAUGCUGUACUGGCUGAGUAUAGACCCCUUCGCAGUAAACGUCAUUCAUACGUAAGCGGAAAUUGUGCGCAGCCUGGACCCAAAAAAGACUCAGAAAUGCCUAGUUGUUGUGUUGUCGGGUGUCAGAAUCGUAGCAGUGAUGGGGUUAAAAUGUUCAGAAUUCCAGCAGGAUUUCACCCAUUCCAAAAAAAUCACCGACGUCUAUGGCUACAAGCCAUCAAACGUGUAGACUGGGAUGAAAGCACCAUCAAAAAUGCGUGGGUUUGCAGCGCCCACUUCAUCACAGGUAAGAUCAGGCUAUUUAU